rnacentral:rRNA from 1 species
GAUGAACGCUAGCUACAGGCUUAACACAUGCAAGUCGAGGGGAAACGAUAGAGAAAGCUUGCUUUUUCUAGGCGUCGACCGGCGCACGGGUGAGUAACACGUAUCCAACCUGCCCAUCACUUGGGGAUAACCUUGUGAAAGUAAGACUAAUACCCAAUGACGUCUCUAGAAGACAUCUGAAAGAGAUUAAAGAUUUAUCGGUGAUGGAUGGGGAUGCGUCUGAUUAGCUUGUUGGCGGGUAACGGCCCACCAAGGCGACGAUCAGUAGGGGUUCUGAGAGGAAGGUCCCCCACAUUGGAACUGAGACA